UGGGGAAUUUUGCACAAUGGGGGAAACCCUGAUGCAGCGACGCCGCGUGAUUUAGAAGGCCUUCGGGUUGUAAAAAUCUUUUCUCUGGGACGAAAAUGACAGUACCAUAGGAAUAAGGACCGGCCAAUUACGUGCCAGCCGCCGCGGUAAUACGUAAGGUCCGAGCGUUGUCCGGCAUCAUUGGGCGUAAAGGGUACGUAGGCGGGUAAGCAAGUUAGAAGUGAAAUCCUAUAGCUCAACUAUAGUAAGCUUUUAAAACUGCUCAUCUUGAGGUAUGGAAGGGAAAGUGGAAUUCCUAGUGUAGCGGUGAAAUGCGCAGAUAUUAGGAGGAAUACCGGUGGCGAAGGCGACUUUCUGGCCAUAACCUAACACUGAGGUACUAAAGCGUGGGUAGCAAACAGG
rnacentral:rRNA from 1 species